rnacentral:rRNA from 1 species
AGGACGAACGCUGGCGGCGUGCUUAACACAUGCAAGUCGAGCGGAAAGGCCCUUCGGGGUACUCGAGCGGCGAACGGGUGAGUAACACGUGAGUAAUCUGCCCCUAGCUCUGGGAUAGCUCCGGGAAACCGGGAUUAAUACCAGAUACGACCACUUUAGACAUCUUCUGUGGUGGAAAGAACUUCGGCUAGGGAUGAACUCGCGGCCUAUCAGCUUGUUGGUGAGGUAACGGCUCACCAAGGCGACGACGGGUAGCCGGCCUGAGAGGGCGACCGGCCACACUGGGACUGAGACACGGCCCCAGACUCCUACGGGAGGCAGCAGUGGGGAAUAUUGCGCAAUGGGCGAAAGCCUGACGCAGCGACGCCGCGUGGGGAUGAAGGCCUUCGGGUUGUAAACCCUUCUAGCAGGGACGAAGCGAAAGUGACGGUACCUGCAGAAGAGCGCCGGCUAACUACGCGCCAGCAGCCGC